UAUAAUAACUAAUAUAAUAUCAUAAAUCACCCUUAUUAUUUUGAAGAUUGAAUCAUGUUUUCCUUUCCAAACAGAGUUAUUGUAGUUGUACCAAUAGAUUAUCAGAAUUUAAAAUAAUAUUUAAUUUAAUACUUAUUUUAAAUAAUAAAUACAUUUUUAAUUGAUUUAUAUUAUAUAAUUAUAAUUAUGGUUAUAGAUGAGAGAGUAGAUGAGUGACUCUGAGGCCGAGACUGCCUCAAAAGAGACUACCCGGAUGUACAAUGAUGACUAGAAUUAUCUCAUUUGCCUUUAUAUCAGAAUUAUCAAGAUCUGAUAAAUUAUUCUCCUGAAGCUGCUCGUCAAAUAAGGCAGGCGAGUAUAACAUUUGAUUCCACGACAGAAGAUAUAUCUGUGGAUUUUGUGCUUGUUUCUUCAUCCAAAGCCAAAACACCAAUGGAGAUGGUUGGCACCGUAGUUCUGCUUUUGAGAAAAGAAUUAAAGUACAAGGAUUAAUUGUUGAAGAAGAUCUUGUGAAGAUCUUGUUGGUGGUUUGACAUUUGUCAAAAUGCAUGCAUCUAGCUAAUAGCUAUAUCAGUGUUACGUAGAUGUUGUGGAGUAUUAAAACUGUAAAUGCCCAUGAAAGAGAGAGGCUACAAGUAACAGAUUGGAAAGAAAGGAUACAGGAUCGCGAAUAUUGGAGAUCAGUGACGGUGGCAGCCAAAACUUUUGCAGAGUUGUAAAGGCACAUAAGAUGGAGAAGCUAGUGACCAAAUAUUAGAUAUUCUACCGCAUUUAAUCAAUGGUAUUACACAGGGUGUAACAAUAAGAAGACCAGAAAAAAAAAUUAUGUUAUUUAAACGUUUGACAACAUUUGUU